rnacentral:tRNA from 1 species
UCUGAUAUGGCAGAAUAGUGCAAUAGGUUUAAGCUCUAUAUAUAAAGGUCAACUUUUAUUAGAA